AUUGAACGCUGGCGGUAUGCCUUACACAUGCAAGUCGAACGGCAGCACGGGAGCAAUCCUGGUGGCGAGUGGCGAACGGGUGAGUAAUAUAUCGGAACGUGCCCAGUCGUGGGGAUAACGUAGCGAAAGCUACGCUAAUACCGCAUACGAUCUAUGGAUGAAAGCGGGGGAUCGCAAGACCUCGCGCGAUUGGAGCGGCCGAUAUCAGAUUAGGUAGUUGGUGAGGUAAAGGCUCACCAAGCCGACGAUCUGUAGCUGGUCUGAGAGGACGACCAGCCACACUGGGACUGAGACACGGCCCAGACUCCUACGGGAGGCAGCAGUGGGGAAUUUUGGACAAUGGGCGCAAGCCUGAUCCAGCAAUGCCGCGUGCAGGAUGAAGGCCU
rnacentral:rRNA from 1 species